GCAACUCAUUCUCUCUUUCCGCGUUCUUCUUUUACCUUUCGACUUCCACAUUUUCCAUUACUCUUCUCUCCAAAUCGGUUUCAUCGCAUACCUUCACCGCUCUGAUCAAACUUUGCUUGAACUCAUUCAAUGGAUCCUUCUCACCUUCCUCUCCCUUUGUCUAUUUAUAAAUCUCUUCUCUUAGCUUAUCUCUCGAUUAAAAUUGAAAAGCUUCUCUCAAACAAUCAUCCCGAUGGAACCCAAAGGAAACGCUUCAAUCUCCAGCGACCGCAAGACCAACAAGAAGACCGUCGUCUUCCUCUUUCACAUGCGGUGCUAAGCAGAAUAGAGUCCGGGUCUAGAUUGAGCCUCCUAAGCAGUGUUGCUAGAUAUCUACUCGAAGCUGUGAACGCCUGAAUCAAAUCAGAGUAAUAAUUUCACAAAUUCUCGGGGAGAACACUGAUCGGAGUGAUGGGGAGACUUGGCUUGGGUUACCAUACGAUCCAUCAAAGAAAGAGGAAGAAGCACCAUAGCUGAAAGAAGAAGGUUCAGAUCUGGAGACAUAAGCAUUGGUGCCAAGUUAGCUUCGUUAGGUCUUCGAACCAGUGCCUUGGUUCUGUUAACAAUUGAACAAGCGAUUAAGAUUGGGUUCAGACACAUUGAGGAUCACGAGAAAGAGGUAAAACAUUUCUCAUAUCACCGAAUUUAAGAGACCAUAUGAUGUUAAGUCUUUGUGGUUGACAUGUCCUGCCUCUUGCAUGUUACGUUCUCCUCAUGCUAUGAUUCAGUUUACUAGAUUGGUAGUGUAUUGAAUAAAUUAAUAGAUUGUGGUUUCGUGAAGCGUAAGGAGUUCAUCACUUCGAAACUUUCGUUUGUCUUUAUUUGGUUUGUAUCAUUCUUCGUAUUUCUAUUACACUAGCACCAAGUGUUUUUUGAAGAAUAUCACAGGAAACAUCAAUUGGGAGAUCGUGGGAGUCAACAACACCUUAAUAAAGCUCAAGUCCUGAAGAAAUUACAAGUCACCACAAAAAGGAAGGAAAUGUAAAGGCUGACAUGGAAACGGAUAUAUCAAUGAAGGAAGAUCUUGAAACAAUGCUGACCAUAACAAGAGAUAAGCUCAACGACAUACACAAGGGUAACAAAAAUCUUAAUCAUCACAUCUAUGGUCUCCACGAUACUUCCUUUCGGUCUAUAAAUUUCAUCUAUUUCUUAUGAGUUUUUUUGCACUGUUGAAACGGUUAAACCAAUGCAAGUCUAAAAAUGUUAAUAGAGAGAUUCAGAAUACACACUAAGCUGUUCAUGGGUGUUAGAUUCAGAAUACACACUAAGGUGUUCAUGGGUGUUCGAUUAUGAGUUUUUGUCUGUAGUGAUGGUAUAUUGUAAUAGCUUCGGCGAAGUUAUAACAAGAGUGUCGAAAAUGCUUACUAACUUAAAUAAGCAACUAA